CUCAACUGCAACCAAGCCGGAAAAUAUUUUAAUUAAACAUGCUAGCUUCGUACACCUAUAGUAGCCCAUGGCAUGUGCUCUGUACAAUUAGCAUCGUUUACUCUAAACUGUAACCAAAGUGAAACCUCAGCCGAAGAGUACAGGAGGUAUGGGUUUUAGAAAUAUUCAUCUAUUCAAUAUUGGUAUGUUGGGGAAGCAGGGUGGAGAUUACUGACUAAACCAAAUUCCCUUUAUGCUCGUAUUCUGGCUGGUAAAUAUUAUCAUAAUUCAAAUUUUAUGAAUGCAAGGAAGAAGAAAAUAGUUCUCAAGUGUGGCAGGCAAUUUUAAAAGGGAGGAAAGUUUUGGAGCUGGGACUAAUUAGAAGAAUUGGGGAUGGAAAAUCUACCAAUGUAUAGCAGGACCGGUGGAUACCAAGUAUUUCAGGAUGCAAACCAAUUAGCAAGAAGACCAGUGCAACCGCAAGCUAGUGGAAGAUAUGAGGAUCACUACAGAAGAGGCAUUGCUGAAAAUUCAGAAACUGAAGGAAAUAAAAUUUGGGUCAAACUAUGGAAACUCGCGGUUCCCCCAAAAGUUAGAACUUUUUGGUGGCGAGUCAUUCAUGGUUUUAUCCCAGUUCGCGAAGAACUGCAUCGAAGGCAUAUUGAAAAGCAAGGUUAAAAUUCCACAAGCAUGUAGAUGGGUUCAUGAUUCUGUAGCAGACCUUAUUGCCAGCUCCCGUUGUGCUAGGGUGUUAAGAUGCAGAUCAAGACCCGCUGGCAACGCCCACAAGAAGGCUUCCACAAGGUGAAUGGAUGCGGCCUAUGAUAUCAAUACCAUGGAAGCAAAAUCAGGAGUUGUAAUUAGAGAUCAUAACGGAAGGAUAUUGGCGGCAAGCAACACAUGUCAUAGUCUUAUUCCUGAUGCUUUAACUGCUGAAGCCUAUGCUUAGCUUGUAGAGAUGGAGCAAAAUUAAUCAGACACGUAAGUAUCAAUCAAGCAAUAAUGGAAUCUGAUUCGCUGGAGCUUGUUUCACCUUGGAAAUCAAGAAACAUCAAUAGAGCUUGUAUUUUACCUGUUUUGAAACAGAUCCAAGGGCUUAGUUGAAGGGUGUAGCUAUUUUGAUAUCAUGCAUGUGAAAGAGAGAAGCAAAUUCAGCUGCUCGCAACAUAGCUAGUUUGCAUCUGCUUCUGUUCCGGACUGUGCCUGGUUAUCUCAGAUGCCGGAUUUCAUCCUUCAAUGUACUGAACAAGAUUGUAAUGCUUGUGUUAAUUAAUGAAGCUUUUGGAUGA